UACGUAGGGUGCGAGCGUUGCCCGGAUUUAUUGGGCGUAAAGGGCGCGUAGGCGGCCACGCACGUCCGUUGUGAAAUCGCUCGGCUCAACUGGGCGGGGUCAGCGGAUACGGUGUGGCUAGAGCAAGCUAGGGGGCAAUGGAAUUCCCGGUGUAGUGGUGGAAUGCGUAGAUAUCGGGAGGAACACCUGUGGCGAAAGCGGCUCACUGGACCACAACUGACGCUGAGGCGCGAAAGCUAGGGGAGCAAACAGG
rnacentral:rRNA from 1 species